GGGGUUGUUGCUCAGUGGUAGAGUGCUCGCCUCGCAAGUGAGACCCUGGGUUCGAUCCUCAGCACCACA
rnacentral:tRNA from 1 species